UACCAGCACCCCGAGUGGUCGGGACGAUUAUUGGGCCUAAAGCAUCCGUAGCCGGUCCUACAAGUCUUCCGUUAAAUCCACCUGCUUAACAGAUGGGCUGCGGAAGAUACUGUAGGGCUAGGAGGCGGGAGAGGCAAGCGGUACUCAGUGGGUAGGGGUAAAAUCCUCUGAUCCAUUGAAGACCACCAGUGGCGAAGGCGGCUUGCCAGAACGCGCUCGACGGUGAGGGAUGAAAGCUGGGGGAGCAAACCGG
rnacentral:rRNA from 1 species